AUGGAUCUUUCACCGAGUUUAUCACAACAUCAAGAUACUUCGCAAGGCACAGAUUCUGAUGGCGAGACCGUAGGGUCAAUGCUUAGGCGCAUAAGGAAAAGGCUGGAUGGGGUAAGCAGGAAGUAUGACAACAACGAUAAUCAUCCAGUAUCAUCGGAUGAAGAAACAUUGCAAUCAUGCAAGCGCAGAACCAAAACUAAGGAGCUGUCAUUGGAGAAUCUUUCACCGAUCAUAUCACAGCAUCAAGAGACUUCACAAGGCACGGAUUCUGACGAUGAGACCAUACGAUCUGUGCGUAGAACCGAAACUAAAGAGUUGCCGUUGAUGGAUCUUUCACCGAGUUUAUCACAGCAUCAAGAUACUUCGCAAGGCACAGAUUCUGAUGGCGAGACCGUAGGAUCAAUGCUUAGGUGA
rnacentral:rRNA from 1 species